GAUCUUAGUUCAUCUCUUUAGGAUUGGGAGGGUCAGGAAGAAAAAGAUCUAGCUACGAUAAUAGACAUUCUUUACAGAUGCAAAUUUUCCCCCCACAAAAAACAGCUUUGUGCAGGGCCUUUUCAAAAUAUGGCAAAGAAACAUGUUUUGGGGUAAAAUAUUUUUAUUUUCUUCCUUGUCUCAUAACGUUAUGCCAGCCAGAGUCAGGCUGGAAAGUAAGUCACAAUAUAUAGGGUUAAAUGAAACCUAUCUGAUGAGAAUUUAUGAUUUGUAGGGCAUGACUCUCCAGACCCCUUAGAUAGGAAUUUGGGCAAGAUAAAAAAAAUCAGAGUUUAGUCCUCACCACAGUGUCAACUUGCUAAUGUGAUGGAAUGGCAGCAAGAUUUCAAAGAAGAUUUUGGGGGAGAGAGCAGGGAGUGGCUCAGGGAAAGAAGUGGAGUGUUGAGUCAGUUGGCUUAAUGGGAACCUGGUUUGCCCAUUUUGAAAACCACAACGGAGAAAUAAUCACCCAGAUCUACUAUUUUUUCACCUUAAAACAUCCUGGGGCCCGUCAUCUUGCACCCUGGCUCUGCAGGGCAGGAUUGGAAGGUCUCUGGGGGGCCCCGCUCCUCUGAAGGAUCACCUGCCCCACCUGUCACAUUCCUCCCUGGCCAGGCCUCACACUAAAGAGACUCGCCUGGCUCCACCAACACCCACUCCAGACUCUGUAGGGGGGUAUCAGCAGAAAUUGAAUCUUUAGCCCCACAGAGAGGCUGUGACAUUCCCACUGCCACUUAAGGGUUAGGGCUAGUCAGAGAAUCAUAGAACGUUAAAGUGUGAAGGAACCAUCAGGACAGCUCAAGAAGCCGAAACCAAGCAAAUCAGAUGGCCCAGGGCCACACAGGGAAGGAGUGGAGGGGUCCCUGCGGGAGUGCUGCCCCUUCCAGGCCUCCUCUGUCACCAGAGGAGCUGGUCCUGCUGCUUAGAGUCAUAUUAAACCUUUGGAUGGGGUAUGUAAGGACACUUUCCCCUGGAAAAAUGCUACGUCACUCACUUUAUAUCCUGGCCUUAGGCCAACUGAGCCUUCACCCCACCCUCCCUGCCUAAGUCACCUCACCAAGCAUCCUCUGGUACUGACGACGAUGCUUUUGGCCUGGUUACCAAGCUUUCCUGACCACCUGAUGGUAGGGCCCCUCCACAUGGGCUAUUCAUCCUCCCAGAAGCAGGUCCUCCAGUGACUGAUCUGCACUAAUGUGGGCAAACAGAGGGCAUCCUCCUCCUCUCUCUGCUUCUUUUCUUUGCAAAAUUAGUGGGACAAAUAGGUACAAGUUGCAUGAAAAUGAGAUACAGUUCUUCAUUUGCCAUCCACACCAGGAGCACCAGGUCCCGGAGCCCAGCUGUGCAUUAGAUGUUGUCUCUGCAGCACAAGGUAGGAGGCUGCAGGAUGUACCUGAGAAACGCAAUCGCACAAAGCAAUUGUUCAGCACCAAAUAUGGGGGACAGAAGAGUGCUAAGGGGAGAAGACUCCAACCAUAAAUAAAUAAAAUGGCAGCAAAUUAGGAAAUAACAGAAA
ensembl:lncRNA ARNILA androgen receptor negatively regulated lncRNA